CAGUCAGCUGGCACAUGACGGGACGAUGUCGCUGAAACAUGAAGCUGUGGCUUUUGAGGAUCCAACUGAAUCUCAAAGACUGGGAGGGGGAGCGGAUCAAAAAGUGACAAAUGCUGAGAGAGAAGGAUGUGGAGAGAAGGAUAGAGAAAUAAUUCACUCACACUCAUGCACAAUCCUAUUUUCAUAGAUACUGACAGGAUCAAAUAAAUCCAACUUCUUACGAUGCAUAUAGCUCCUAAAGGAACUCAAAUGCAGUCUUACAAUGACAACAAAAUGACUUUGUUCAUUCUAC